ensembl:lncRNA
GGAAGAGAAGGAGGAGCGGGCGUCCGCAAGGUGGAUUCUUUACCACUGAGCCACUUGGGAAUCCCUGGAAGGCAACUGUGCUCACCGCUAUACCAUCAACAUGCUGAUUUUGGGGCUUGGAUCAUCAUAGUGGGUGCUCAGACUGGAGCCAACAGUGAUGAUCUGUAGCGGGACCCCAGACCCCCUGCCUCGCCUGAGGUCAGCGUCCGUUGGUGCAGCUGUUGCUGUUAAUGCCAGAUGCCAUCUGGCAGGGGCGCUCCCAUCCUGACUGUUUUCAUUUCUGUUUUUCUGUAUCUUCAGUGCUUUAUCUUCCAGGGCCUCUUUGUUCAGUCGCUAAGUCACGUCCAACUCUUUGUGACGCCGUGGAUUGCAGCUCACCAGGCUUCCCUCUCCUUCUAAUUAACCCUGUUUAGCAUUUCCACAGCAUUUUCUAGAAGGUCAAUUUCCCUGAUGAAUCCACAUCCUGAAUUCCAAAGGAGGACCAAUCCUGUUUAUCCUCACUCCAUAGUCACUGCACCUCCAUUGACCUCAGGCUUCUCUGCUGAGAAAUGGGAAGAAGGAGGCCUUCCUCCUAGAGGGCUGUGAGGUUGCAAGAAGGAUGGAGCGCAGGGUCUGGCACGUUGUUAGUGCCUGAUGAUGAAGGUGUCUUCUUCCACCUGCAGGGUGAGAACCUGGGAGAGGGUGGCACUCACAGUGGGCUGCAGAGGGGCUGGAGAGGGGCUUCCCAGCCCUGUGGGGGGUCCACCUGCUCAGCCAGAGCUGACCUGUCCUGGCUCUGGUUCAGUUACGAGGCAGGCUCAGGGCUCAGAUGUGAGGGGAGGAGAAGGAAGCUAGGACUGGCAGUCUGAGCUAGAGUACAGCUUCUGCCCUCUUACUUACGUACUGCAGGGUUUUUCAACCUGUGGUAUGUGAGCCACCUGUGGGUUUGAGAAUUCAAUUUAGUGGGUUGUGAAAGUCGCUCAAUCGUGUCCGACUCUUUGCGACCCCAUGGACUAUACAGUCCACGGAAUUCUCCAGGCCAGAAUACUGGAGUGGGUAGCUGUUCCCUUCUCCAGGGGAUCUUCCCAGC